CGCUGAUUACCAGUAUACAUUAAAUAAAGUUGUUUGUACACAUUGUCUUACCACAUAUAGGCAGAGGCUUAUUAUUCUAAUUACUCUAAUUAGUGCAUUGAAAUGUUUUCUACUUGAUUUGAGGAGACAGUGAUUAGUUCUAUUACUUCUUUUAACUCGUAUUUUAUGGAAAACUGUUGGUGCAUGUUCAAAUUACUUUAUUUGCCCCUGGAAUAUAACGCUGACCCAAACGCAGUGAACUGCAUGGCCCUUGCGGGGCCCCAACUUUGAUGUGGGCCUCGGCUUGGAAGAGGCGUCUGUUAUGUAUUAUUUCCCUCCCACCCGCGCGGCCGCGUCUCGUAGGGCUGGGCCCGCCGCCCCCACCCCAUCCUGAGACCCAGAUGCGCUCCCCGCACUGACAAAGUCCGAGCAGACGCGGGGCGGAAACCUGCUUGGACGCCGGUUCGCUGGCCCGCUGCUUCGUUAGUUCCCCAGGUGCGAUUACUUUUAAGAGACGUCCUGAAGCAUAUUUCCCGUGAAUCUGUUUCUUGAGCUUUAAUGUUACUAUUAAUUGAUAAGAUCAGCUCAUCAAACAUACUAUUUCGAUAGGGAAUUGUAAUUAAAACCUUAAUCCUGUUUGAGACUUUUUUCCCUUUAAAUUCCUUUUUCUUAUAGAAGGGGUGCAAAGUUCACUAUAAAAAGUAUUAUAACAGGGAGAUUAAUUCGUUAUCUAAAUAACAAUCUUUGCUAUUGAUCCAACGCACUUUCCGCCACCUUUUGUUGGUCAGGGAGGCCCUUAAAAAGAAGAAUAUGACAAAGCAGAAGAUUCGGAGCGAGCCCCACAGACUCCGAUCCACUUGGCCAAGCGAGGGGGAUCCGCGGCCCUCCCCGCUUAACUACAAUCCGAGGACGCUCCCGAGGAGUUCAAGUUGGGGAGGCAAGAGGCGAUCGGUUGGCGGCCGGAGCCGCCACGCUGAGGGGAGCAGCGGGGGCCCCAGCAUCCUGCAGCCGGGAACCCGGAGAAGCCGCCCAGCUCAGACGAGGAGGUGUUCCCGCCGGGAAAUGACCUGCGCGACCCGCGGUCCGCUCCCGGGGACCCCAGCCGCGCUCCAAGGUCUGUAGCCUAGAUGGUUUCCUUCUGAACGCCUGGGAAGCCCCGGGGCUUCCCCGGCCCCGCCGCGCCGGGAUGCGGGCGGAGGGGCUGCGGAAGUUGCUGAAAACCCCAGGGGCAGCGCGCCUUGCGGGCGAGGAAGAGAAGAGAAGAGNNNNNNNNNNNNNNNNNNNNNNNNNNNNNNNNNNNNNNNNNNNNNNNNNNNNNNNNNNNNNNGUUUGCAGGAAAAACCAAAACACUAGCCCCAAGCCCGCAGGCCUUCUACCAAACGCACGGAGUCCUGAACCAAUGUGUGGGCGCUGCUCCCUGCAACAAGGCUUUGCUAAUGCCUGGACGUGAAAACACACGCAUUUCCAAAAGGACACACCCACGUUUCACCGAUUAGGAUCCUUAGUUGGAGUAAUCAAAGUUGGGAGGGAAAGGUAAUUUAGCAUUCUUUCUGUUUAAAACACACAGUGCUUUGGCAGAUAAAAAGAAAGAAGCGGUCCCGCUAGGUAGGAGAUUGACCCAAGGAGAGGAGCGGAAGCAGGAAAAGGAAGUAGCUGGUUUGGUCGCUGGGCCAGAGCACAGGAGGCACCCGGCUUGAGAUGGCCGCUAAGGGAGCCUCCUAUGGAGUUAAUUAGAAGAGGGUCUUGAAGAAGUUUUAAUUAGAUUCGAAAGGCAAUUAAGAGCCAUUGUAGAGGAGUGAUCCGAUGACAGUCACGCUUCAGGAAGGAAGAGAGGCGGGGCAGUGCAUUGGGUAGGUUGGGGAGAACAGAAAUCAAGGAGGUG
ensembl:lncRNA